UGCAGCAGGUGAAGGGGGCACUCGCCGGCCUGGGGUUGUGCAUCCAGUGCGAGCCUCUCACUUGAAUUCAUGCUGCACAGUGCAGAGCUUCCUCUGCCACAUGCAGCCGACUCUCGGGGUGCUAGGGAGGAGAGUAAGAGUGGUGAGGGGAGGCCUUCUGUCGAAAGCUGUGUGCAAAAUGAGCAGAAUGACCGCAGAGGGAGCCCGGUAAGGAGGGGCGGAAUGGGACCCAGCGUCCCAGAGCAGGGGGGCUGGGGGGGCUGGAUACAGCAGAGAGGAGGCCUUGCCACGCCUGGGCCGAAGGACAGGAUGGCUGUGUGAGGCCUUCCAUGUGGGUUCAAGCAGGAUGGAUGCGUUGUCUUCCCCAGAGAAGACCAAGCAGCUCCUAUUUCAAGGAGCUCAGGCCUACAUGGACCACUUGUGGGAGGAAGGCUGUGCCAUUGUCGACCUGCCAGAGUCCCCGAAGCCCGGUCCCACAGAGGCCGCUCGGGCAGCACGUGGUCAGAUGCUGAUCGGACCAGACGGCCGGCUUAUCAGGAGCGAAGCCCAGGCCUCGGAAGCUGACCCAUCUGGGGCGGCCUCCAGAGCCUGCUCCUCGUGCGUGCGAGCCGUGGACGGGAAGGCGGUGUGCAGCCAGUGUGAGCGCGCCCUGUGCGGGCGGUGUGUGCGCAUCUGCUGCGGCUGUGGGGCUGUGACCUGCACCCCGUGUGCCCUCGUGGAACUAGCCGCCCUUCCUUGGCUUCUGUACCGAGUUGCCAGUGUCCUGUCCUGUGAGGACCCCUCCUCGUGAAUUUCCCCUGCAAGUCACUGAACUUCCUUGGCUUUACCCGUCUGGUGGGCUUCUGAUGGGAGCCGCUGUGGUCUGCUGUGGUGACGUCCACGAGAAGGUGCUCUGCGCCAGCUGCGCCAUGUUCGAGGCCUGAGGCCAUGAGUGGAUGGCAGCCUUGCCCAGACGGUGGCCUGGCGUGGGCACUGAGGAGCUGGAGAACAGCAUCGGUGGGGGGGUUCUGUUUUAUAUUUUGUACUCCUGAUGCCAGAGGUAAAUAAAGCUCUUUAUAUUUGGACCAGA